rnacentral:rRNA from 1 species
GACGAACGCUGGCGGCGUGCUUAACACAUGCAAGUCGAACGGAGUUCCUUGGAUAGAGGCUUCGGCCAAUUGAAUUGGAGCUUAGUGGCGGACUGGUGAGUAACGCGUGAGGAACCUGCCUUUCAGAGGGGGACAACAGUUGGAAACGACUGCUAAUACCGCAUGAUGUAUCGAGGGGGCAUCCCUUUGGUACCAAAGAUUUUAUCGCUGAAAGAUGGCCUCGCGUCUGAUUAGAUAGUUGGUGGGGUAACGGCCUACCAAGUCGACGAUCAGUAGCCGGACUGAGAGGUUGACCGGCCACAUUGGGGCUGAGAUACGGCCCAG